CAGGACAAAAGAUGCCCAGGAAGGCUGAGAAAAAAAGCGCUAUCCACAUAAAACCCAGCGGUUCACUGCCAAUAGGGCAUUCCCCACCACUGAUUUAGCCCAGUAAGAAGCCUUCGGUUUCUCCGGUGCCACACUCCGCAUAAGCUAGACCACGCCCGAGCCUUAUCAGAGCUUUGCGGCGAGUGGGCGGACUUAUUCGUGGCUCCGCCCCGUGACCUGCGCGCUUGCGGGAGGGUCACAGGUCAGAGGUUGUGGAGCCGUCAUGGCAGCGCUGUGUUGGGCCCGCGCUGUGGCUGCCGAGAGCUGUUUCCUGCGAGUGUUUCUCUUCUCCCGGCCGUGUCGAGCCACAGGCACUGAGAGUAGCUCCGGGAGCGGGAGUUCAGAUGCCGCACAGCCCCGGACGCAACCAGGUGGCUUCGCGAGCGCACUGGAGAGACACUCGGAACUGCAGCGGCAGGCGGAGCUCAACCGGGGCUCUUUGAAAAAUGUGGAAUCCUUCGUGUCCAUGCUGAGACAGUCUCCUCUUACACAGAUGGGACCUGCUAAGGAUAAACUGGUCAUUGGACAAAUCUUUCAUAUUGUGGAAAAUGAUCUUUAUAUAGAUUUUGGCGGCAAGUUUCAUUGUGUAUGCAGAAGACCCGAAGCGAAUGGAGAGCAACAUUUAAAUGCAGAAUCUUUCAUUUUGGAUGCAGUAAAUACCACAGAAGCCAGUAGAUAAAGAUGGUGUCCCAAAUCUCGAAACCAUACCAAAAGGAGUGGGAAUUCCGCUUCGGCGGGCAGCUGAAACAAGAAUUCACACGGAAGGCUAUCAGUAAAUGCUUGCCGAAUGAACAAAAGCGAGGGAGGGAAGAAUGCAGAGAAGACAGAAUAACAUCAGAAGGCAGAAAUGACCUGCUCAAGAAUCAUGGCACAUUUCUAUAAUGUGUAGACUGAAUCAUCCUCAAAAUCAAAUUUAUUAAUGGUCUUUGUACUCAUUGUAUUGCCUUUAAAUGUGGAACUUAAACCUAACUCAGAGAGCUCCAUCACAAAAGUUGUGAAUUUUAAAAAAUACAUA